rnacentral:piRNA from 1 species
AGGGACAGAUCAGUGCGUCAGACAAG